AACCGUAUAGGGGAGCCGGAGGGAAACCGAGUCUUAACCGGGCGUUAAGUUGCAGGGUAUAGACCCGAAACCCGGUGAUCUAGCCAUGGGCAGGUUGAAGGUUGGGUAACACUAACUGGAGGACCGAACCGACUAAUGUUGAAAAAUUAGCGGAUGACCUGUGGCUGGGGGUGAAAGGCCAAUCAAACCGGGAGAUAGCUGGUUCUCCCCGAAAGCUAUUUAGGUAGCGCCUCGUGAACUCAUCUCCGGGGGUAGAGCACUGUUUCGGCUAGGGGGCCAUCCCGGCUUACCAACCCGAUGCAAACUGCGAAUACCGGAGAAUGUUAUCACGGGAGACACACGGCGGGUGCUAACGUCCGUCGUGAAGAGGGAAACAACCCAGACCGCCAGCUAAGGUCCCAAAGUCAUGGUUAAGUGGGAAACGAUGUGGGAAGGCCCAGACAGCCAGGAUGUUGGCUUAGAAGCAGCCAUCAUUUAAAGAAAGCGUAAUAGCUCACUGGUCGAGUCGGCCUGCGCGGAAGAUGUAACGGGGCUAAACCAUGCACCGAAGCUGCGGCAGCGACGCUGAUGCGUUGUUGGGUAGGGGAGCGUUCUGUAAGCCUGUGAAGGUGGCCUGUGAGGGUUGCUGGAGGUAUCAGAAGUGCGAAUGCUGACAUAAGUAACGAUAAAGCGGGUGAAAAGCCCGCUCGCCGGAAGACCAAGGGUUCCUGUCCAACGUUAAUCGGGGCAGGGUGAGUCGACCCCUAAGGCGAGGCCGAAAGGCGUAGUCGAUGGGAAACGGGUUAAUAUUCCCGUACUUGGUGUUACUGCGAAGGGGGGACGGAGAAGGCUAUGUUGGCCGGGCGACGGUUGUCCCGGUUUAAGCGUGUAGGUGUGUGUUCCAGGUAAAUCCGGUUCACUUUAACACUGAGGCGUGACGACGAGGCACUACGGUGCUGAAGCAACAAAUGCCCUGCUUCCAGGAAAAGCCUCUAAGCAUCAGGUAACAUCAAAUCGUACCCCAAACCGACACAGGUGGUCAGGUAGAGAAUACCAAGGCGCUUGAGAGAACUCGGGUGAAGGAACUAGGCAAAAUGGUGCCGUAACUUCGGGAGAAGGCACGCUGACAUGUAGGUGAAGUGAUUUACUCACGGAGCUGAAGUCAGUCGAAGAUACCAGCUGGCUGCAACUGUUUAUUAAAAACACAGCACUGUGCAAACACGAAAGUGGACGUAUACGGUGUGACGCCUGCCCGGUGCCGGAAGGUUAAUUGAUGGGGUCAGCGCAAGCGAAGCUCCUGAUCGAAGCCCCGGUAAACGGCGGCCGUAACUAUAACGGUCCUAAGGUAGCGAAAUUCCUUGUCGGGUAAGUUCCGACCUGCACGAAUGGCGUAAUGAUGGCCAGGCUGUCUCCACCCGAGACUCAGUGAAAUUGAACUCGCUGUGAAGAUGCAGUGUACCCGCGGCAAGACGGAAAGACCCCGUGAACCUUUACUAUAGCUUGACACUGAACAUUGAGCCUUGAUGUGUAGGAUAGGUGGGAGGCUUUGAAGUGUGGACGCCAGUCUGCAUGGAGCCGACCUUGAAAUACCACCCUUUAAUGUUUGAUGUUCUAACGUGGACCCGUAAUCCGGGUUGCGGACAGUGUCUGGUGGGUAGUUUGACUGGGGCGGUCUCCUCCUAAAGAGUAACGGAGGAGCACGAAGGUUGGCUAAUCCUGGUCGGACAUCAGGAGGUUAGUGCAAUGGCAUAAGCCAGCUUGACUGCGAGCGUGACGGCGCGAGCAGGUGCGAAAGCAGGUCAUAGUGAUCCGGUGGUUCUGAAUGGAAGGGCCAUCGCUCAACGGAUAAAAGGUACUCCGGGGAUAACAGGCUGAUACCGCCCAAGAGUUCAUAUCGACGGCGGUGUUUGGCACCUCGAUGUCGGCUCAUCACAUCCUGGGGCUGAAGUAGGUCCCAAGGGUAUGGCUGUUCGCCAUUUAAAGUGGUACGCGAGCUGGGUUUAGAACGUCGUGAGACAGUUCGGUCCCUAUCUGCCGUGGGCGCUGGAGAACUGAGGGGGGCUGCUCCUAGUACGAGAGGACCGGAGUGGACGCAUCACUGGUGUUCGGGUUGUCAUGCCAAUGGCACUGCCCGGUAGCUAAAUGCGGAAGAGAUAAGUGCUGAAAGCAUCUAAGCACGAAACUUGCCCCGAGA
rnacentral:rRNA from 1 species